ACUUGAUGAAUAUUCAUGAGGUGGGCGCGGCUGUCCCCUCACUCCUCCCCCAGCUCCAUGGCUCCCGCGCGGAUAUGUUUAUUUCUGCAAGCGAGAGCGCACGCGGCCAUCAUCAUCCUCAUCGUCCUGCAGCUCGAUCUGCGCGUGACAGUCGCUCAGCUCAAUAUGGCAAACAAGAGCGUUUUGCCCGCCAAAGAGCGCUCACUGAAGGGCAGGGAGGAGAAAAUGGUCGUGGCAGUAAAGCACUCCGCCAAUGGGAACCCCACAGUGGAGCCAUUUCCUGAUGGCAUGGAGAUGAUCAUGUUCGGUAUGGGCUGUUUUUGGGGAGCAGAAAGGCGCUUCUGGAGGAUUCCUGGUGUGUUCUCUACACAAGUCGGCUAUGCUGGAGGCUUUACACCUAACCCCACCUACCAUGAGGUGUGCUCAGGUUUAACGGGGCACACAGAAGUAGUGCGAGUGGUCUUCUCUCCUAAAGAUGUCAGCUUAGAGAAACUUCUCAAAUUCUUCUGGGAGAGCCAUGACCCCACUCAAGGAAUGGCACAGGGGAAUGACCAUGGCACGCAGUACCGUUCUGCCAUCUACACCUACAGCCCAGAACAGCAAGAGCUGGCCAUGAGGAGCAAGCAUAUGUACCAGGAGGCCCUGACUAGGAAAGGCCUGGGUGAGAUCACCACAGAGAUCCGGGAGCACGCUGAUUUUUACUAUGCUGAAGACUACCACCAGCAAUAUCUGCACAAGAAUACUAAGAUUGUUGCGCAUAACCCCCAGUUGAAUUCAAUUGGCCACACCUGACAGGAAGUUGAAAUGGACAGGAAGAGGAAGUUGAUUUAUCAAACUUCAAGACUUAUUAAAAACUUUUAAGCAAGCCAGUAUUCAAGAAAUGACACAAAUGUGACAUUACUGAUGUCUUCUUCUCAGGAGAAAAAACAAGAAAUGAGCUCACCUGUGGAAGCUCAGCUGUGUUUAUUUUUUAGGCAGAGAUCUCACUGAUGAAUGUUACCAACAUGGUUACUUUUACAGAAUGAUCGCCUCUCUUUUUGACUGAUAAGACACAAGGAGGAUAGGUUCAUUGGGAGGAAACCACAUUCGACAUCUCUCCCAUGCAGCUGCUCCCAGACACCCACUCUUCCUGCAGGAGUGCAUGUCUGUGUUCAACAGAGAAGACCACAGCUGAGAUUACGGCAACCCUCACAUCUAUAACCAGCAACUCCUGAGGGCUGGGCAGGUGCUGCUGGAGUAUGGAGCAUGCAGUCACGGCUAUUCUCACACACUUAUUGCUUCAUAUGCAGGUGCAAAACUCCAUAAAUGUCUGAAAUAAAUGACUGUUCUCAUAUGUUGUAGUUUGAAAAUGUAGCUGUAUUCAACUGUUUAAUCAUGUCUCUACAGCAUCCACCAUUUUUUCUUGGAAAAAAUGUGAAUGUGAUGACAUUUCUGCAAAGUGAUAUUACGUUGCUUCUUGAAUGUUUUGCGACAGUGAAAUGUCCUGUGGGUGGCACUGAAAGUAGGUUCAGUUUUGUCCAAAACAGACGAAUGUGAAUCUGCCAAAAAUUAAAAUUAAAUGUCAAGUCAA